CAGAGACUGCGAGCGUUAUUCGGAUUCACUGGGCGUAAAGGGUGCGCAGGCGGCCAAGUGUGUGAGGCGUGAAAGCCCGGGGCUUAACCCCGGAAUUGCACCUCAAACUACAUGGCUAGAGCAUUGGAGAGGGUAGCGGAAUUCACGGUGUAGCAGUGAAAUGCGUAGAUAUCGUGAGGAACACCAGAGGCGAAGGCGGCUACCUGGACAAUUGCUGACGCUCAGGCACGAAAGCGUGGGGAGCAAAAGGGAUUAGAUACCCCUGUAGUCCACGCCCUAAACGGUGCACACUAGGUCUUGGCGGAUUCGACCCCACCAGGGCCCAAGCUAACGCGUUAAGUGUGCCGCCUGAGGACUACGGCCGCAAGGCUA
rnacentral:rRNA from 1 species